GAUGAACGCUGGCGGCGUGCCUAAUACAUGCAAGUCGAGCGAACAGACGAGGAGCUUGCUCCUCUGACGUUAGCGGCGGACGGGUGAGUAACACGUGGAUAACCUACCUAUAAGACUGGGAUAACUUCGGGAAACCGGAGCUAAUACCGGAUAAUAUAUUGAACCGCAUGGUUCAAUAGUGAAAGACGGUUUUGCUGUCACUUAUAGAUGGAUCCGCGCCGCAUUAGCUAGUUGGUGAGGUAACGGCUUACCAAGGCAACGAUGCGUAGCCGACCUGAGAGGGUGAUCGGCCACACUGGAACUGAGACACGGUCCAGACUCCUACGGGAGGCAGCAGUAGGGUAUCUUCCGCAAUGGGCGAAAGCCUGACGGAGCAACGCCGCGUGAGUGAUGAAGGUCUUCGGAUCGUAAAACUCUGUUAUUAGGGAAGAACAAAUGUGUAAGUAACUAUGCACGUCUUGACGGUACCUAAUCAGAAAGCCACGGCUAACUACGUG
rnacentral:rRNA from 1 species